AUUGAACGCUGGCGGCAGGCCUAACACAUGCAAGUCGAGCGGAUGAAGGGAGCUUGCUCCUGGAUUCAGCGGCGGACGGGUGGGUAAUGCCUAGGAAUCUGCCUGGUAGUGGGGGAUAACGUCCGGAAACGGGCGCUAAUACCGCAUACGUCCUGAUGGAGAAAGUGGGGGAUCUUCGGACCUCACGCCAUCAGAUGAGCCUAGGUCGGAUUAGCUAGUUGGUGGGGUAAAGGCCUACCAAGGCGACGAUCCGUAACUGGUCUGAGAGGAUGAUCAGUCACACUGGAACUGAGAAACGGUCCAGACUCCUACGGGAGGCAGCAGUGGGGAAUAUUGGACAAUGGGCGAAAGCCUGAUCCAGCCAUGCCGCGUGUGUGAAGAAGGUCUUCGGAUUGUAAAGCACUUUAAGUUGGGAGGAAGGGCAGUAAGUUAAUACCUUGCUGUUUUGACGGUACCAACAGAAUAAGCACCGGCUAACUUCGUG
rnacentral:rRNA from 1 species